rnacentral:misc_RNA from 1 species
UGUUAUGGACGUGUAAUCGGUUAAUAGUUAAAUUUUUUAGUGUCUCUGUUUAUAGAAGGUCAGUUCAAUUCCUUAUGUUCCUGAAUGAAAUUUCUGAUGUUUAAAAAACAAACUUCCUUCGGUAAGGUAAACUUCAGGGUGAUCCCAAAAAUUCAGAUGAGAGCAGAUUGGUAUUUAGGACAAGGGCCAUUAAUGCCAUUGCCUGCACACUCUCAUGAGGACAAAAAUGAGGAACGGAUUUA